rnacentral:rRNA from 1 species
GUCCACGCCGUAAACGAUGAGAACUAGACGUCGGAGGGGUCUGCUCUUCGGUGUCGCAGCUAACGCGAUAAGUUCUCCGCCUGGGGAGUACGGCCGCAAGGUUGAAACUCAAAGGAAUUGACGGGGCCCGCACAAGCGGUGGAGCAUGUGGUUUAAUUCGAUGCAACGCGAAGAACCUUACCUGGUCUUGACAUCCUCGGAACCUCGCAGAGAUGUGGGGGUGCCUUCGGGAACCGAGAGACAGGUGCUGCAUGGCUGUCGU